CAAUAGCGUAUAUUAAAGUUGUUGCAGUUAAAAAGCUCGUAGUUGGAUUUGUGGCGUACGGUGUGUUCCGGGCACUUGUUGUCUGAGUAACCUGCUGUUGCCAUCCUUGGGUGGAACCUGUGUGGCAUUAGGUUGUCGUGCAGGGGAUACCCAUCAUUUACUGUGAAAAAAUUAGAGUGUUCAAAGCAGGCUUAUGCCGUUGAAUAUAUUAGCAUGGAAUAAUGAGAUAGGACUUUUUUGCUAUUUUGUUGGUUUGCGCAAGAAGGUAAUGAUUAAUAGGGACAGUUGGGGGUAUUCGUAUUCCAUUGUCAGAGGUGAAAUUCUUGGAUUUUUGGAAGACGAACUACUGCGAAAGCAUUUACCAAGGAUGUUUUCAUUAA
rnacentral:rRNA from 1 species